CUAGGGACGCGCAUUUCAAGCGCCCGUGUCGUCGGGUCAAACCGGCGACUGCGUUGGCGUUGCGGGCUCGGUCCGUCGGUGCCACUAAAAGCACUGGCGUGUCAACCGGCCCGCCCGUCCCCUCCUUCUGGAUUCCCGUUCCUGCUAUUGAGUUAGUGGGGACGUCACAGGGGGCUCAUCGUCGUCAUGCAAAUGGCGGCGGUGGGUCCCUGGGGCCCAGAUCGUUUACCGUGAAAAAAUUAGAGUGUUCAAAGCAGGCAGAUCCAAUUCUCUGCCACCGAAUACAUUAGCAUGGGAUAAUGGAAUAGGACCCUGUCCUCCUAUUUUCAGUUGGUUUUGGCAGCGCGAGGACUAGGGUAAUGAUUAAUAGGGAUAGUUGGGGGCAUUAAUAUUUAAUUGUCAGAGGUGAAAUUCUUGGAUUUAUGAAAGAUUAACUUCUGCGAAAGCAUCUGCCAAGGAUGUUUUCAUUAAUCAAGAACGAAAGUUAGGGGAUCGAAGACGAUCAGAUACCGUCGUAGUCUU
rnacentral:rRNA from 1 species